rnacentral:rRNA from 1 species
AUUGAACGCUGGCGGCAGGCCUAACACAUGCAAGUCGAACGGAUGAAGCGUGCUUUCUCCUGGAUUCCGCGGCGGACGGGUGUGUAAUGCCUAGGAAUCUCCCUGCUUGUGGUUGAUAACGUCCUGAAACGGGCGCUACUACCGCAUACUUCCUGCUGGAGCAAGUGGGUGAUCUUCGGACCUCACGCUCUCAGAUGAGCCUAGGUCGGAUUAGCUAGUUGGUGGGGUAAAGGCCUACCAAGGCGACGAUCCGCAACUGGUCUGCGAGGAUGAUCAGUCACACUGGAACUGAGACACGGUCCAGACUCAUACGGGAGGGAGCAGGGGGGAAUAUGGGACAAUGGGCGAAAGCCUGAUCAAGACAUGCGGCGUGUGGGAAGAAGGUCUUCGGAUGGGAAAGCACUUUAAGUGGGGAGGAAGGGCAGUAAGUUAAUACCGUGCUGUUUGGACGUUACAAACAGAAUAAGCAACGGCUAACUUCGUG